GAUCAUGGCUCAGGAUGAACGCUAGCUACAGGCUUAACACAUGCAAGUCGAGGGGCAGCAUCAUCAAAGCUUGCUUUGAUGGAUGGCGACCGGCGCACGGGUGAGUAACACGUAUCCAACCUGCCGACAACACUGGGAUAGCCUUUCGAAGAAAGAUUAAUACCGGAUGGCAUAAUUAAUUUCCGUCCAUGGGAGUAAUUAAUUAAAGUAAAUUUACGGUUUGGUUCGGUAUGGGGAGGUGCGUUCCU
rnacentral:rRNA from 1 species